AUUGAACGCUGGCGGCAGGCCUAACACAUGCAAGUCGAACGAGUGGCGGACGGGUGAGUAAUGGCUGGGAAACUGCCUGAUGGAGGGGGAUAACUACUGGAAACGGUAGCUAAGAACGCAUACCAUCCGAUGUACCCAGAUGGGAGUAGCUGGUGGGUGGGGGAAAGGCUCACCAAGGCGACGAUCCCCAGCAGAUCAGAGAGUAUGAGCAGCAACACUGGAACUGGGACACGGUCAAGACUCCUACGGAAGGCAGCAGUGGGAAAUAUUGCACAAUGGGCGCAAGCCUGAUGCAGCCAUGCCGCGUGUAUGAAGAAGGCCUUCGGGUUGUAAAGUUCUUUCAGCGGGGAGGCGUUACCCGCAGAAGAAGCACCGGCUAACUCCGUGCCAGCAGCCGCGGUAAUAC
rnacentral:rRNA from 1 species